AACUUAAAUAGUUUAAGGAAAACGCAAAUUUGUGGAGUUUGAAAUGUACCAAAUGUACUUUAGGUUU
rnacentral:tRNA from 1 species